rnacentral:rRNA from 1 species
AUUGAACGCUGGCGGCAGGCCUAACACAUGCAAGUCGAACGAGUCGCGGACGGGUGAGUAAUGUCUGUGAAACUGCCUGAGGGAGAGGGAUAACUACUGGAAACGGUAGCUAAUACCGCAUACCAUCAGAUGUGCCCAGAUGGGAUUAGCGAGUGGGUGGGGUAACGGCUCGCAAAGGCGACGAUCCCUAGCUGGUCUGAGAGGAUGACCAGCCACACUGGAACUGAGACACGGUCCAGACUCCUACGGGAGGCAGCAGUGGGGAAUCUUGCACAAUGGGCGAAAGCCUGAUGCAGCAAUGCCGCGUGUAUGAAGAAGGUUUUCGGGUCGUAAAGUACUUUCAGCGGGGAGGCGUUACCUGCAGAGGAAGCAACGGCUAACUCCGUGCCAGCAGCCGCGGUAAUAC